CGCCCUUAGAGUUUGAUCAUGGCUCAGGACGAACGCUGGCGGCGUGCCUAAUACAUGCAAGUUGAGCGUUGGUACUUGUACCAAGAGCAGCGAACGGGUGAGUAACGCGUGGGGAAUCUGCCUUUGAGCGGGGGACAACAUUUGGAAACGAAUGCUAAUACCGCAUAAAAACUUAACACAAGUUUAAGUUGAAAGAUGAUUGCAUCACUCAAAGAUGAUCCCGCGUUGUAUUAGCUAGUUGGUGAGGUAAAGGCUCACCAAGGCGAUGAUACAUAGCCGACCUGAGAGGGUGAUCGGCCACAUUGGGACUGAGACACGGCCCAAACUCCUACGGGAGGCAGCAGUAGGGAAUCUUCGGCAAUGGACGAAAGUCUGACCGAGCAACGCCGCGUGAGUGAAGAAGGUUUUCGGAUCGUAAAACUCUGUUGGUAGAGAAGAACGUUGAUGAGGAAACUCAUCAAGUGACGGUAACUACCCAGAAAGGGACGGCUAACUACGUGCCAGCAGCCGCGGUAAUACGUAGGUCCCGAGCGUUGUCCGGAUUUAUUGGGCGUAAAGCGAGCGCAGUGGUUUAUUAAGUCUAGUGUAAAAGGCAGUGGCUCAACCAUUGUAUGCAUUGGAAACUGGUAGACUUGAGUGCAGGAGAGGAGAGUGG
rnacentral:rRNA from 1 species